rnacentral:lncRNA from 1 species
UUGGUUUCGAUCUCAACAUCUUCUCCUUCCAUGAACCAUCCUCUUCAACUCUCCAUGUCAAAGACCCCACCUUUCUUCAUGGUUUGAACUCGCCACACCAGAUCCAUGUUGAAAGCUAUCACCUUUCUUCUAGUACAGUGAGAAAGGGGCGCUUGGAACUGGUUUUCAUGGAGAGGUUAGUAAGGCCACUCCAUAACCUUUUCUUCCAGGGACCUUCUUCCUUCAAGGGCGUUCAUGAGAGAGUGAGACUGGACUGAGAAGAGCUUCUGGACGUCUAGGAUGGAACCUCUUCUUCUUGAAGAUGUAGAACAGCCGGACUGAACAUGAAGCUUCUUAUCAGCUUGAAAUGGCAUGGGAGUGAGCUGUGAGCUUAGGCGGAAGCAACACCAAGUUCAGAUGAACCUGGCUCUGAUACCAUAUGAGAUUUGUAGAGUUCUCUUCUCUGGUUGUAUGUGUGUGUGUGUAUAAACUCCAAUGGAGAAAGAUGAGAGCUUGCUCUAGGUGAUUUAGAAAGAGAGAUUGAUGAGAGUGUUUAUGAGAGAAUAAGAGACUUAGGAACAAAGAUUAAGAGACUGAGAGAUUAGGAGAAUAAGAGAUUAGAGAUUAGGGUUUCAGAUUCAAGAACAAGUUU